rnacentral:siRNA from 1 species
AGCCAGAUGCGAUAGUUCCCAUGG